UAUUCUGGUGUCCUAGGCGCAGAGGAACCACACCAAUCCAUCCCGAAUUUGGUGGUUAAACUCUACUGCGGUGAAGAUACUGUAGGGG
rnacentral:rRNA from 1 species